CCCCCCCUGAGCGGGUCCCGGGCCAUGGCCGGGCCGCCCCCCGGCCCCGCUCCUCCCGUGCCGCCGCCGCCCUAGGCCGCGCCGCGAGCGCAUCUGAGGCUCGGAAAGGUGAGGUGGUUUCCUCAAGGCCCCCAGCCCACCCUGGAGGAGGCGAGAACUUGGCCCCUUCAGCUUCCUGCCGGCCGCAGGCCGUUGAAUCAGCGGACUCUGAACUUCUUGGAAAACAGCUUUCUGCAGGUGAAUGCAGGAUGGGGCACAGUCCCGUCUCGGGCUGUUGAGAGCUGUGGGACGAUAACUCUGAUUCGUUCCACAGGGCUGUGAGCGCCAACUACAUGCCAAGCGCGGGAGUCCCCUGCCUCCUCGAGCAGGCAGAGAUGACGCAGAUGUGGAAACAGAGGCCCAGAGAGGCUUAAAGCUUGCCCAGGGUCACACAGCCCUAACACUGCAGAACUGACACUUGAGUCCAGAGAAGAGCAAGUCGAGACCACAGCUGGGCAGAGGCCGGCGAGGUGAGUGGUGGCCUGAGAGGCAGGAGGGAAAUGGGGCGAGUAGGGUGGGUGGUUCCUGAGGGAAACGGGGCCAGGUUCACCUGGGAGUUGUUGUGGCGGGGAGGGAAUGCAUGAGUCCCAUUUUGCAGAGAGAGAAACUCAGGCUCAGAGAGGGGCAGCCCGUGUCUGAAGUCACACAGCUCAGGGAGGCAGAGCAGGGAUUAAAGACCCUGAGCCUUCAUGGGCUCUGGCCUUGUCCUGGCUGCUAGGUCAGGACAGGCUGAUCUCCACUACUAAAUCACGGCUCAUGUUGCCUCUUCCAGGAAGCCUUUCUUGACUGACUAGGCAAGUGAGAUGAGGGAGCAAUCGCCCCCUCUGCCCUGGGUCAGGUUGCCUGGCUGGGCCCCCUGUGACCUGCCGCUCCCAGGAGAGCCACCACCCAUACCUCAUUCCUCCAAGGCCUGAGUAAGGCACCACGCAAGCUGGGAAAGAACAUUAAUUGAGCGCCUACUGCAUUCUAGCUGCUUGACCUACUUUGCCUCUUGAGAAAUGUAGCUACUGUCCUAUGUAGAGUGGGGUUGUGAGGCAGGAGCACGAGGUGGGUCCUCAAAGUGGCCAUGCAAAACCCCAGGGGAAGGUGUGGCCACAUUGGACACCCUGUACCACCUCCCGACAAGUCCUGCCUGGCCAGUGUUGCCCUGGGCAAAGGCGGAUAAAAUCACGGGCCAAGUGCAUAGAUUCCUCAGUGCGCUCCCCAUCCCCUGCCUGUAAGUGUGGGCCCCGCCCUGGGCCCUUUAUCUGGAUUAUUUCAUAACAGUCUUUUCUGUCACUCUGAAUGCAUCCACCACCUCUCCCCUUCCUCACUUGGAUCCAGCCUCACCAGCCUCCUGGCUGUCCCCCAACACCAGCAGCAGGUUCCCACCUCAGGGCCUUUGCACUUGCUGUUCCCUCUGCCUGGCAUGUCCCAGGGGUUCCCUUCCUCACCUCCUGCAGGUCUCUGUUCAGAUGUCACCUUCUCAGUACAGCCUUCUCGACCCCCCUGUUGAAAUCAAACACUUCUCUUGUCCCAGCACUCCUGACCCCCUCCCUGUCAGACUUUCCACAGCACGUAAGACCAUCUGGCAGAUGUAUUUCAUCUGUUUGUUAACUGUCUGCUCCGUUCACCUGCACUGGCACGUGAGCACCACGAGCGACCUCCCCGUUUUCUUUACUGCUGUAUUCCCAGUGCCUGGCAUGCAGUAGGUGCUUAAUAAAUGUUUGAUGAAUGAAGGCCCUCCAAUCCUCUGAAGUGGGGUCUGUUCACACCCACAUUUCAUGGGGGCCGUCAGAGCUGAGCUAGGAAAUCAGCAGAGCUGGCACCCGCUGGGGACCACCGAAGGGCAGCGGGUCUGGUCCCGGGGAUGAUGGAAACAGCUGCCUGGAAUGAGGCCUGGCUUUGAACGUCAGCUGCGCCCAACGAGCUUGGUGGCCCUGGGCGAGUCUCUAACCUCUCUGUGCUGUCUCUCCAUCUGUCACGUGCGGUCACGCCAGUCCCUGCCAGCUUGGCUUGGCCGCCAGAUUAAGCGAGGGGAGAUGCACGAGAUGGGGGGCACGCAGUGGGGAGGAGCCCCCAACAGUAUUGGGGCGGGAGGACAGCAGGAGGGGCAGGAGCCUGGCCUCUGGGGCCGGUCCCACGGGGCUUCGGUCCUGGCUCUGCUCCUGCAGGGCCGCGUGCGUGAGCCUGGGCGGGGCCCUGGAGCGCUUUGAGCCUCAGUUUCCCCCCCACCGCCCGCGGAAG
rnacentral:lncRNA from 1 species